rnacentral:rRNA from 1 species
UACGUAGGGACCGAGCGUUGUCCGGAUUCAUUGGGCGUAAAGAGCUCGUAGGCGGCUGCUCAAGUCGAAUGUGAAAACUCGAGGCUCAACCUCGAGCCUGCAUUCGAUACUGGGCGGCUAGAGUCUGGUAGGGGGAGUCUGGAAUUCCUGGUGUAGCGGUGGAAUGCGCAGAUAUCAGGAGGAACGACCGGUGGCGAAGGCGGGAUCCUGGGCCAGUACUGACGCUGAGGAGCGAAAGCGUGGGGAGCAAACAGG